GACGAACCGUGCGAACGUUAUUCGGAAUCAUUGGGCUUAAAGCGCGUGUAGGCGGAUCCGUGCGUCUGUCGCUGAAAUCCCCCGGCUCAACCGGGGAACGGGCGUGGAUACGACGGGUCUGGAGGGGCAUAGGGGGACCUGGAACUUCCGGUGGAGCGGUGAAAUGCGUUGAGAUCGGAAGGAACGCCCGUGGCGAAAGCGAGGUCCUGGAUGCCUACUGACGCUGAGACGCGAAAGCCAGGGGAGCGAACGGG
rnacentral:rRNA from 1 species